rnacentral:rRNA from 1 species
AUUGAACGCUGGCGGCAGGCCUAACACAUGCAAGUCGAACGGUAACAGGAAGAAGCUUGCUUCUUUGCUGACGAGUGGCGGACGGGUGAGUAAUGUCUGGGAAACUGCCUGAUGGAGGGGGAUAACUACUGGAAACGGUAGCUAAUACCGCAUAACGUCGCAAGACCAAAGAGGGGGACCUUCGGGCGUCUUGCCAUCGGAUGUGCCCAGAUGGGACUAGCUAGUAGGUGGGGUAACGGCUCACCUAGGCGACGAUCCAUAGCUGGUCUGAGAGGAUGACCGGCCACACUGGAACUGAGACACGGUCCAGACUCCUACGGGAGGCAGCAGUGGGGAAUAUUGCACAAAGGGCGCAAGCCUGAUGCAGCCAUGCCGCGUGUAUGAAGAAGGCCUUCGGGUUGUAAAGUACUUUCAGCGGGGAGGAAGGGAGUAAAGUUAAUACCUUUGCUCAUUGACGUUACCCGCAGAAGAAGCCCCGGCUAACUACGUG